UGUGAUCUCAAAUCAGACAAGACGACCCGCUGAAUUUAAG
rnacentral:rRNA from 3 species